rnacentral:rRNA from 1 species
GACGAACGCUGGCGGCGUGCUUAACACAUGCAAGUCGAACGGUAAGGCCCUUUCGGGGGUACACGAGUGGCGAACGGGGGAGUAACACGUGGGUGAUCUGCCCUGCACUUUGGGAUAAGCCUGGGAAGCUGGGUCUAAUACCGGAUAGGACUACGCGAUGCAUGUCGUGUGGUGGAAAGCUUUUGCGGUGUGGGAUGGGCCCGCGGCCUAUCAGCUUGUUGGUGGGGUGAUGGCCUACCAAGGCGACGACGGGUAGCCGGCCUGAGAGGGUGUCCGGCCACACUGGGACUGAGAUACGGACCAGACUCCUACGGGAGGCAGCAGUGGGGAAUAUUGCACAAUGGGCGCAAGCCUGAUGCAGCGACGCCGCGUGGGGGAUGACGGCCUUCGGGUUGUAAACCCCUUUCAGCACAGACGAAGCUUAAGUGACGGUACGUGCAGAAGAAGCACCGGCCAACUACGUG